rnacentral:rRNA from 1 species
UACGGAGGGUGCAAGCGUUAUCCGGAUUCACUGGGUUUAAAGGGUGCGUAGGCGGGUGUGAAAGUCAGUGGUGAAAUCUCAGAGCUAACUCUGAAGCUGCCAUUGAUACUUUGCAUCUUGAAUUUUCUGGAGGUUAGCGGAAUAUGUCAUGUAGCGGUGAAAUGCUUAGAUAUGACAUAGAACACCGAUUGCGAAGGCAGCUGACUACGGAUGAAUUGACGCUGAGGCACGAAAGCGUGGGGAUCAAACAGG